rnacentral:rRNA from 1 species
UGCCCUAGUAACGGCGAGUGAAGCGGCAACAGCUCAAAUUUGAAAUCUGGCCUCCUUUGGGGGUCCGAGUUGUAAUUUGCAGAGGGUGCUUUGGCGUCGGCAGCGGUCUAAGUUCCUUGGAACAGGACAUCACAGAGGGUGAGAAUCCCGUACGUGGUCGCCUGCCUUCGCCGUGUAAAGCCCCUUCGACGAGUCGAGUUGUUUGGGAAUGCAGCUCUAAAUGGGAGGUAAAUUUCUUCUAAAGCUAAAUACCGGCCAGAGACCGAUAGCGCACAAGUAGAGUGAUCGAAAGAUGAAAAGCACUUUGGAAAGAGAGUCAAACAGCACGUGAAAUUGUUGAAAGGGAAGCGCUUGCAGCCAGACUUGCUCGCAGUUGCUCACCUGGGUCCGCCCGGGGCACUCUUCUGCGAGCAGGCCAGCAUCAGUUUGGGCGACCGGAUAAAGGCCUCUGUCAUGUAUCUUCCUUCGGGAUGACCUUAUAGGGGAGGCGUAAUGCGGCCAGCCCGGACUGAGGUCCGCGCAUCUGCUAGGAUGCUGGCGUAAUGGCUGUAAGCGGCCCGUCUUGAAACACGGACCAAGGAGUCUAACAUCUAUGCGAGUGUUUGGGUGUCAAGCCCGGGCGCGUAAUGAAAGUGAACGGAGGUGGGAACCCUCUUCGGGGGGCGCACCAUCGACCGAUCCUGAUGUCUUCGGAUGGAUUUGAGUAAGAGCAUAGCUGUUGGGACCCGAAAGAUGGUGAACUAUGCUUGAAUAGGGUGAAGCCAGAGGAAACUCUGGUGGAGGCUCGCAGCGGUUCUGACGUGCAAAUCGAUCGUCAAAUUUGGGCAUAGGGGCGAAAGACUAAUCGAACUAUC